CACACACGUGUUUAACAGAGCUGGUCUCGGCUCCUGGCAAGGGGGUGUGACUGGAGAGACUUUCUGCAGAGCAGUUUGACUGUGUUUCAUCAGAUUUUUAAAUGUUUAUGUCCACUGCCUUAAAAAUUCCACUUCAGGAAAUCUAUCUAAGGAAACAAUCACUGGUACAAAGACUGAUUAAUGUUUUAAACAGUUUUAUAGUAGAGAACUGGAAAGAACCUGAAUGUCCUAUAAUAAGAACAGUUAAGUGACUGUGUGAUAUAAACAUUCAGAGUAAUUUUAAAAAAUAGUUUAAAAAUAAACCAAGAUGUUUAAGCUACAUGUUCAGUGCAUACACACAUAUAGUACGGUGCCAACUACAUUAAAAAUGCAUAGAAAAAACACUGGAAUUUUCCCUAAUUCUUCGUAUGUUUUUUAAAUUU